rnacentral:rRNA from 1 species
UACGUAGGGGGCAAGCGUUGUCCGGAGUUAUUGGGCGUAAAGAGCGUGUAGGCGGCUGGGUAGGUCCGCUGUGAAAGCUCGAGGCUUAACCGCGAGACGUCGGUGGAAACCCUCCAGCUAGAGUCCGGAAGAGGAGAGUGGAAUUCCUGGUGUAGCGGUGAAAUGCGCAGAGAUCAGGAAGAACACCCGUGGCGAAAGCGGCGCUCUGGGUCGGAACUGACGCUGAGACGCGAAAGCGUGGGGAGCGAACAGG